GUUUUUUCUACCAACAACAAUUCCUACAUUGUAUUUGAUUUUUGGGAUAUUCAAUUGGGUUCGAGUCUUUCAUUCUUCUUUUGAGUCUAUUCACAUAUUCGUGUCAAAACAUUCAUCUAUUCCACUUAUUCAAGUCCUUUGAGUCUCGUGGUCUUUGAUUAAUAUUCGGUUUGUUUGAAUUGCCGAUAAAAUAAUUGAUUUAGUUCACUUGGUUCUUUGAAGUACUUGGAGGGAGACUUUGAGUGGUAAAAGGCCGAGUGGUGAGUUUAAUAGAGGGAAAAGCCAUAGUGAGUGUUUUUCGAGUGAAAUCUUUGUGAGGCAUAAAAAAAUUGUGUGAUAUGAUGUCGGAAAGAAAAUGUUCUAAUUCAAGCCGAAACGGUAAUGACAACAAUGCAUCGGAGGACAUGAUAAGGAGGUUUGAAAGGGUACUUGGUGUUGUUAGGGAAAAUGUGGAUAGGCAAGGGGAAUGGAUGGCACAAAUAGGUACUACAAUUGCUAAUCUUAGUCGGGGACAAGUGAAGAUGUCUAAUGCUAGGGGGCCGAGUAGGCGUGAAUCUAAGAGAGGAAGGUGGGAUGAGUAUCGUAGUGAUGAGGAUGAUUUUGAUGAAAAUGACAUUGAUAUGGGUCGAGCGAGGCAUAGGGGCGAUAGGAUGGAAAGACGGGAUAGGAAUAACUUGGGAGAUGAAGUAGAUGGAAAUUUGGGGAGUAUUAAAAUGACUAUUCCGCAAUUUAAGGGGAGAAGCGAUCUGGAAGCAUAUUUAGAGUGGGAAAGGAAGGUUGAGAUAUUUUUGAGUGCUAUAAUUAUUCGGAGGAGAAAAAGGUAAAAUUGGUGGUGCUUGAAUUUGUGGAUUACACGAUAUCUUGGUGGGAUUAAGUACUUACAUCACGGCGUAGGGGUCGAGAAAGGCCAAUGAGUUGAAGAUGUUGAUGAGGAGGAGGUUUGUUCCGAGUCACUAUUAUAGGGAAAUCUAUCAAAAAUUGCAAGGUUUGUAUCAAGGAUCGAAAAGCGUAGAGGAUUAUCACAAGGAGAUGGAAAUUCUUAUGAUUCGGGCUAAUGUGAAUGAAGAUCGGGAAGCUACCAUGGCACGGUUCUUGAAUGGGUUAAAUCGGGAUAUUGAAAACGUUGUAGAGUUGCAACAUUAUGUGGAAAUCAAGGACAUGUUACAUGUGGCAAUGAAGGUCGAGAGGCAAUUGAAGAGGAAGGGGACGUCUAGGCAACCGUUAGGUACUUCGACUCCUAAUCCAACAUGAAAAUUGAAGUGGGAUGAUAACAACAAAAACGGGGCUGCACCUAGAGGUAAAAAUGAUUGGCAAAAGGGCAAAGAUGAAAAUGCUAGCAAACCAAUAUCAAAAUCGGAGGCACAACCGCCGCGCAAUCGGGACAUCAAAUGUUUUAGGUGUUUGGGAAUGGGGCAUGUUGCUUCUCAAUGCCCAAACAAACGGGCGAUGGUGUUGCGGGAUAAUGAAGAGAUUGUGAGCGAUAGUGAUGGAAAGUUUGAUGACAUGUCGGCGUUGGAGGGUGUUAGUGAAGAAGAAAAAGUUGAAGGGCCGGUUGGGGAUCUACUAGUCACAAGGCGAGCUCUCACUACUCACGUCAAAGCGAACGACUUGGAGUUGCAACGGGAGAACAUUUUCCACACUCGAUGCCACGUCAACAAUACGGUAUGUCGUGUUAUAGUUGAUGGUGGUAGUUGCACUAAUGUAGCUAGCGUAUCUCUUGUAGAAAAAUUAGGUUUAACAUUGUUGAGACACCCGAGACCUUAUAAAUUGCAAUGGUUGAAUGAGAGUGGCAAGGUGAGGGUGAAUCGAAGGGUGUUACUUAAUUUGUCAAUUGGGAGUUAUAAGGACGAGUUAGUAUGUGAUGUGGUGCCAAUGCAAGCGGGACAUAUUUUAUUGGGGCGACCAUGGCAAUACGAUAGGAAGGCUAUGCAUGAUGGGUACAAAAAUCGAUAUAGUUUCAUUAAGGAUGGAAGGACCAUUACUCUUGUGCCAUUAACAGCGGCGCAAGUCUAUGAGGACCAAUUAAAAUUGAGAAGUGAGGAAGAGAGAAGAGCAAAAGAGUUAGAAAAAAUGAGAGCAAAUAGUGAGUUGGAGAAAAAGAGAGAAAAUGUUGAGAUAGCCAUUAGAGAGAAAAAGAGAGAGCAAUCACAAGAGAGAAAAGAAAGAGAAUGCCCCGAGAGAAGAGAGAAAACACGAGCGAAUUUCUUUGCAAUAGAGAGUGAUUUGAGGAGGGCGGUAGUUGAGAAAAAAGAGAUGAUCUUGUUCAUUUAUAAGGAAUCACUCCUCAAUUUUGAGAAAACUAACCCACCCCUCCCUAGUUUGGCUAAAUCUUUGUUGCAGGAAUUCGACUAUGUAUUUCCGGAGGAUGCACCAAGUGGAUUGCCGCCUAUUCAAGGCAUUGAACAUCAAAUUGACUUCAUACCCGUAGCUGUCAUUCCAAAUCGACCGACUUAUCGAAGUAAUCCCGAGGAGACUAAGGAACUUCAAAGGCAAGUGGAGGAGUUGAUGAGUAAAGGAUACGUGAGGGAAAGCAUGAGUCCUUGUAUGGUAUCGAUUUUGCUUGUACCACAAAAGAAUGGAACAUGACGAAUGUGCGUGGAUUGUAGGGCUAUCAACAACAUAAUGGUAAAGUAUCGUCACCCUAUACCUAGGUUAGAUGACAUGCUUGAUGAAUUACAUGAUUCUUGCAUAUUUUCUAAAAUUGAUUUAAAAAGCGGGUAUCAUCAAAUUCGUAUGCGGGAGGGUGAUGAAUGGAAAAUGGCUUUUAAAACUAAAUUGGUU
rnacentral:lncRNA from 1 species